AGCUUAGUUUAUAUAUAUAUAUUUUUUUGAGAGAUAGGUAGUACGCUACCCGCUUCGUUUAUUUCAUUUAGAAAUAAACUUAGCUGGAAAUAUGAAUCAACUAGGAUUCGAACUUAGGUCUCGAGUAUCAACCAACAAAUCCUUUACCACUUGCUCUAGGGACGGUCGGUAGCUUAGUUCAUAAUUUUAAUAAAUGAAACAGAUAGCACGCUAUCUUUUUUAAAAAAAAAAAAUAACACGUUAAAGCCAACCAUAUCUAGCGCAGUUAGUUAUGAACUUGAUGGUUGAUAUUCGAAGUUCUAAAUUUGAGAUCUAAUUGCUUUGCAUAUUUCUAGCUUAGUUUAUUUUUUUUAAAAAAAAGAACUAAGUGGAUAGGUUAUUAUUUUUCUCAAAAAAAAAAAAAAACAUGUGGAAGGGGUUUAGCAAAAAUGCUUUAGACUUCGUUUGGGAUUGAGGGGAGACUGCGUUACGUUCGGUGAGAAACGACGAUGAAAAAAUAUUCUAUUUGUUUCCGUACGUAAUAUUACGUUCCACAUAUUGCGAUUAGUCGGUUACGAUAUAUUUUCUACGGUUUCAUCGGAAAACGCAAAAGAAUAUCGUUAUAUGUUUUUUCUCAACUCCAUUCUAUCUAAUAGAAUUAGAUUGAUCUCAAUACCAAACUAAGCCUUAGAUAGAUAUGUAUUAUUACUAAUAUAAAAUCACUGUUAUUCUAAAAACAAUUCUCUCAAAAAAGAAAAUAAUUAU
rnacentral:lncRNA from 1 species